rnacentral:rRNA from 1 species
GACGAACGCUGGCGGCGUGCUUAACACAUGCAAGUCGAGCGGUAAGGCCCUUUCGGGGGUACACGAGCGGCGAACGGGUGAGUAACACGUGGGUGACCUGCCCUCAGCUCUGGGAUAAGCCUGGGAAACUGGGUCUAAUACUGGAUAUGACUCCACGGUGCAUGUCGUGGGGUGGAAAGCCUUGUGCGGCUGAGGAUGGGCCCGCGGCCUAUCAGCUUGUUGGUGGGGNGAUGGCCUACCAAGGCGACGACGGGUAGCCGGCCUGAGAGGGCGACCGGCCACACUGGGACUGAGACACGGCCCAGACUCCUACGGGAGGCAGCAGUGGGGAAUCUUGGACAAUGGGCGCAAGCCUGAUCCAGCCAUGCCGCGUGAGUGAUGAAGGCCUUAGGGUUGUAAAGCUCUUUCAGCGGGAAGAUAAUGACGGUACCCGCAGAAGAAGCCCGGCUAACUUCGUGCCAGCCGCCGCCGUAAC